rnacentral:misc_RNA from 11 species
GGCAAGGAGGUAAAAAUGUUCCAAA